GUUGCAUGCGAGGUGAUAAACCCUUCUGUGGCAUGAGUUUUUCCAUUAAGCCAUAAUAUAAUUUAUUUGCAUUCUUGGAAUUAGAUUUAGAAAUCUACUAGCAAAUGUUGCUUUCAUUGCUUGUGUUAUCACUAUUCUCAUGACAAUAUCUUGCAUUAAUCUCUCUUUCUGCGCACACAGUCUGCGCAGCUACCGGUAGUUAAAGGACCACUAUAGUGCCAGGAAAACAUACUCGUUUUCCUGGCACUAUAGUGCCCUCAGG